rnacentral:rRNA from 1 species
UACGUAGGGACCAAGCGUUGUUCGGAUUUACUGGGCGUAAAGGGCGCGUAGGCGGCGUGUUAAGUCACUUGUGAAAUCUCUAAGCUUAACUUAGAACGGUCAAGUGAUACUGAUGUGCUAGAGUGCAGAAGGGGCAACCGGGAAUUCUUGGUGUAGCGGUGAAAUGCGUAGAUAUCAAGAGGAACACCUGGAGGUGAAGACGGGUUGCUGGGCUGACACUGACGCUGGAGGCGCGAAAGCUAGGGGAGCAAAUAGG